CCAUGGUUCUGGACUUCCAUGCUUCCAUGGCAAGCCUUCACAUCUGUAAGGAGCAGAGUCAUCUCUUUACAGAGACAGAGCACACCAUACCUGCUGUAUGAAGCCAGGACCUGAUGCCUGGGAAGCCUCCCAGCUGCUCCAGGGAGCCAGCAAAGAGCUUUCAUCUGCUGCUGAGAGAGGAAGGAGAUGAGGAGAGAGAAAGGAUCCCACCAGGCUGUGCAACCAAGCUAAAAGAGAUGCAAGCAGCUGAUUCCAAACCUUCUCUAACCUCCCUGGAAGAACAUUGCCUUUCCUGGGAGGGCUUAUCAUGAGAUGCCCUCAUCCUGGUUUAAUCAGUUUUGAAUGUGGGAAAAGACAAUCAUGAUCUGAGCCAGGCAGUGUUUCCCUUGCAUGUGAAUGAUGUGAUACUGGAGCUUCAUUAACAUGCUCUACACUCUUAUCUUUAU